rnacentral:rRNA from 1 species
CCUACGGGGGGCUGCAGUCGAGAAUCAUUCACAAUGGGGGAAACCCUGAUGGUGCGACGCCGCGUGGGGGAAUGAAGGUCUUCGGAUUGUAAACCCCUGUCAUGUGGGAGCAAAUUAAAAAGAUAGUACCACAAGAGGAAGAGACGGCUAACUCUGUGCCAGCAGCCGCGGUAAUACAGAGGUCUCAAGCGUUGUUCGGAAUCACUGGGCGUAACGCGUGCGUAGGCUGUUUCGUAAGUCGUGUGUGAAAGGCGCGGGCUCAACCCGCGGACGGCACAUGAUACUGCGAGACUAGAGUAAUGGAGGGGGAACCGGAAUUCUCGGGGUAGCAGUGAAAUGCGUAGAUAGCGAGAGGAACACGCGUGGCGAAGGCGGGUUCCUGGACAUUAACUGACGCUGAGGCACGAAGGCCAGGGGAGCGAAAGGGAUUAGAUACCCGAGUAGUC